rnacentral:rRNA from 1 species
UGGGGAAUUUUGGACAAUGGGCGAAAGCCUGAUCCAGCAAUGCCGCGUGUGUGAAGAAGGCCUUCGGGUUGUAAAGCACUUUUGUCCGGAAAGAAAUCCUUGGCUCUAAUACAGUCGGGGGAUGACGGUACCGGAAGAAUAAGCACCGGCUAACUACGUGCCAGCAGCCGCGGUAAUACGUAGGGUGCAAGCGUUAAUCGGAAUUACUGGGCGUAAAGCGUGCGCAGGCGGUUUGCUAAGACCGAUGUGAAAUCCCCGGGCUCAACCUGGGAACUGCAUUGGUGACUGGCAGGCUAGAGUAUGGCAGAGGGGGGUAGAAUUCCACGUGUAGCAGUGAAAUGCGUAGAGAUGUGGAGGAAUACCGAUGGCGAAGGCAGCCCCCUGGGCCAAUACUGACGCUCAUGCACGAAAGCGUGGGGAGCAAACAGGAUUAGAUACCCUGGUAGUCCACGCCCUAAACGAUGUCAACUAGUUG